UAGUUUACAACUUGUAGAAAGGCGACAGUUGUAAAUUUUAUGUCUUUUAACAAUUUAUAUAUAUUUAUCUAAAUUUUAACACUAUUAAAACAAAAUGUUUUACUUAGAUCUAUUUAUAACAUUGAUUUCCAUUAUUAUUAUUAUAUUAAAUCGCAUGACCUUAUAUUCUUUAAUCCAUAUGAUUUAUUAAGGGUGUCAAAAUGGGUCAAAAUUCAUGAGUCAACUCAACUCAACUCAACCCAUGAACCCUAAUGAGUUGAAAAUUUUGACUCAAAUGAGUUGAUGAGUCAAAUGGGCUGAUGAGUCAAUUGGUUUGAUGAGUAAAAUGAGUUGGGUUAUAAUGGUUAAUGGUUUCAAUGGUUUAUCCAAUUAACCCAUCAAAUUUUGUAAAAUUGAAUUAAACCAACUAAAAUCUCUAAACCAAUGCCAAUUUAAGUUUAACCAACACAUCUAACCUAAUUUAAUAAAAUUAAUAUUUUUCCAAAUUUCUUAAAUAUACAAGCGAUGCAAUUGAGAAAAAAUAAACUCGUAAUUUUUCCACCAAAAAACAUAAACCCGUGAUUUUCCCGCCAAAAACGUAAACCCGUGAUUUUCCCGCCAAAAACGUAAAUCCAUAAUUUUCCCGCCAAAAACGUAAACCCGUAAUUUUCCCGCCAAAAACGUAAACCCGUAAUUUUCCCACCAAAAACGUAAACCCGUGAUUUUUCCGCCAAAAAUGUAACCCCGUGAUUUUCCCGCCAAAAACGUAAACCCGUGAUUUUCCCGCCAGAAACGUAAACCCGAGAUUUUUCCGCCAAAAACGUAAAUCCUUUAUUUUUUCGCCCAAAACGUAAACCCAUGAUUUUUCCGUCAAAAACGUAAACCCGUGAUUUUUCAGCCAAAAACGUAAACCUAUGAUUUUCCCGCCAAAAACGUAAAUCCGAGAUUUUCCCGCCAAAAACGUAAAUCCGUUAUUUUUCGCCAAAAACGUAAACCCGAGAUUUUUCCGCCAAAAACGUAAACCCGAGAUUUUCCCGCCAAAAACGUAAAUCCGUUAUUUUUCGCCAAAAACGUAAACCCGAGAUUUUUCCGCCAAUAAGCUUAAACCCGAAAUUUUCCAGCCAAAAACGUAAACCCAUCAUUUUCCGGCCAAAAACGUAAAAACCUAUAAUUUUCCCGCCAAAAACGUAAAUCCGUGAUUUUCGGUACCAAAAACGUAAACCUGUAAAAAGUGGAAUCCGUAAAUAUCUUAAGUUUAAUGAUAAUUAUUAAUAAUGAUAAU
rnacentral:sRNA from 1 species